UGCUUGCACUAAAUGAAACUAGAUACAAGCGAGCGGCGGACGGGUGAGUAACACGUGGGUAACCUGCCCAAGAGACUGGGAUAACACCUGGAAACAGAUGCUAAUACCGGAUAACAACACUAGACGCAUGUCUAGAGUUUGAAAGAUGGUUCUGCUAUCACUCUUGGAUGGACCUGCGGUGCAUUAGCUAGUUGGUAAGGUAACGGCUUACCAAGGCAAUGAUGCAUAGCCGAGUUGAGAGACUGAUCGGCCACAUUGGGACUGAGACACGGCCCAAACUCCUACGGGAGGCAGCAGUAGGGAAUCUUCCACAAUGGACGAAAGUCUGAUGGAGCAACGCCGCGUGAGUGAAGAAGGGUUUCGGCUCGUAAAGCUCUGUUGGUAGUGAAGAAAGAUAGAGGUAGUAACUGGCCUUUAUUUGACGGUAAUUACUUAGAAAGUCACGGCUAACUACGUGCCAGCAGCCGCGGUAAUACGUAGGUGGCAAGCGUUGUCCGGAUUUAUUGGGCGUAAAGCGAGUGCAGGCGGUUCAAUAAGUCUGAUGUGAAAGCCUUCGGCUCAACCGGAGAAUUGCAUCAGAAACUGUUGAACUUGAGUGCAGAAGAGGAGAGUGGAACUCCAUGUGUAGCGGUGGAACGCGUAGAUAUAUGGAAGAACACCAGUGGCGAAGGCGGCUCUCUGGUCUGCAACUGACGCUGAGGCUCGAAAGCAUGGGUAGCGAACAGGAUUAGAUACCCUGGUAGUCCAUGCCGUAAACGAUGAGUGCUAAGUGUUGGGAGGUUUCCGCCUCUCAGUGCUGCAGCUAACGCAUUUAAGCACUCCGCCUGGGGGAGUACGACCCGCAAGGUUGAAACUCAAAAGGAAUUGACGGGGGCCCGC
rnacentral:rRNA from 1 species